UACGAAGGGGGCUAGCGUUGCUCGGAAUUACUGGGCGUAAAGCGCACGUAGGCGGGUCGCUAAGUCGGGGGUGAAAUCCUGGAGCUCAACUCCAGAACUGCCUUCGAAACUGACGAUCUUGAGUUCGGGAGAGGUGAGUGGAACUGCGAGUGUAGAGGUGAAAUUCGUAGAUAUUCGCAAGAACACCAGUGGCGAAGGCGGCUCACUGGCCCGAUACUGACGCUGAGGCACGAAAGCGUGGGGAGCAAACAGG
rnacentral:rRNA from 1 species